ensembl:rRNA predicted gene, 24664
GUCUGUGGCCACACCUCUCUGCACUCACCUUAUCUUAGAAGCCAAGCAGCAUUCGGCCUGCUGAGAGCUUGGAUGGAAGAAGAGAAAAGAGCAAUUGUUC